AAAAAAAAAUCUUCUUAAAUAUCGGCUUUACCUAAGUUCUCUCUCCCGCCUCAUCUCUGAGACUCUGAUCUUUAAUUUCAUCUAAUCUUUGAUUUCAUCUCUUGUAUUUCAAAUUCUCAGGUAUUAUUUGUUCGUAGAGACCUGCAUCUUUUCUGACUUCGGCCUUUUUGUUCACUCGCCUAAUUCACCGGUACGUCAUCUCCAUCAUUUUAGCUUCCCCUUUCUUUCUCCCUUGUUUAUCUAUUUCUAGGUCAUAUAAUCGAAGAGUAAGAGAUGCAAGGUAUGACUAAGGAUCUGAAUACGGAGAUUUGAAAGCUAAAAUCCAGAACGAAUGACGAAUUCAUGAAGUUGGUGUUUACCGAGCAGAAAGUGAAGGGUGUACAUAGAAUUGAAGCAAAGUUUGAUAAUUCUCAAAUGUGCGAUGGUUAUAUAACUGAUAUCUACGACUAUCUUGAUAACAUUGAGGGCUCUAGGUUUUCGCUUUGUUGGACGGGUACCACAUCCCAAUUGUUAUUAUAGUGAAGCUCCAAAAGCAGCAGUUGAGAUUGACUCCGAGCAAUGCCUCCUUGAGAAGUUGUUCUCAAGCCAUUUCAGGUAUUAAUCAAUUAGAAAAUUUUCGGAGUUCUUGACUAUCAAAUUUCAGGGAUGGCAGAUUCAAAAUGAAGGUGUAGAUUUUUGAAGAAAUUUUCUAAGACUUUUUAUUUUGUUUAGGACGUGGGGUGUAAAUUUGUGUAUUGGAUGACUUUUUAGAUUUUGAUUAUUUGAAUCUUAGAAACACUCCAAUGAAAUGUUUUAUAGUAACAGAUGUUUUCAUGUAUUAGUAUAUUAGAUUGAGGGUAUGAACUUUGUGGUGCUAGAGUUCUCAACUGUACAUUAUGUUGAUAUAAAGUUCUUCAAUUUCCUCAUUGGCAUUGAAUCAACUAACUAUUGAUUCGUUUCUU